rnacentral:tRNA from 1 species
CGCGGCCUGCGCCGCGAGGCGGUCGCGGUCCCGGCCGCCGAGGACGACCGCGGCGCCCUCGGCGACGAGCGCGCCGGCGAUCGCGGCGCCGAUGCCGCGGCC